CCUCCUGAUUAGUGAGGGAUAGAGACACGUGCCAUUGGUGCCUGAAUGUUUUUAUGUGUUUGUUUUCACUUGGUAUAUGUAGAUAGACAUACACAUUUUCCUUAAUUGUUAAUGCAAGUUGGUGAUGUUAUUAUUGUCCCCUUUUUACAGCUAAGAAAGUGGGGGGGAAAAAAGGUACAUUUACUUGCACAGUAUCUAGCAGCUGAUAAAUGGCAGGACCUGAAUAUAAAACUGAGUCCUGCUUGCUUUUUCCCGUAGUGCACAGUCUUGUCAUUUCCUUGGCUGGCGUGUCACUGACCUAAAAUAAUUGUGUUUGGAGAAUGCAGGCGGAUUUUAAUAGGGGUGGAACUGGUCAGUGCUGUAACUCAGACGCAUAGUAAAUAUUUAGAGACUUUAUUAGGGGUUUGCUCUCAGCACCACAUUAACGAGGCUUUCUGCAGCUGGCUGAGGAUUUAUUUUUGUAAGGCAUGAGUGGGAGAGGAGUUUGACAUGUCUGAGUUCAGAGAAAACACUUGAUGACACUAGAAGUAGUCUCCUUAGCACAGGAAUGAAUUAUUGGUUUGUCAUUGAAUCACCCUGAGCCUUUGGACAGGUCAGGGUUUUAUAAUUGAACGUAUGAAUAGAAAGCAUAGCAGGUGCUUUCCUGGGCUGUAGAGACAAGGGACCCAGUGAGGUUAGACACAUGGAUGGUUGGCUCUUCAAAUACCAGGGUGAGAUGGGUGCAGUCUGUCACUAUAUCUCCCAUCUAGGUAAAUAGAAGUUUUGAAAAACAAUUAUAUAAUUUUCCUUCCUUGCUGUCCUUGGGUAGUACAGAAGCUCAAUAUCCUUAUUUUGAGGAUCUUAUUGCUCCAAUCAAUCCACUUCUAACAGUCUCUUUACCAGGUCCAGCUGAAAACUGUGGACAGAUGUUCUGCUAUUUGCAAUUAUCUCAGGGCCUGAGACUGGUAUCUGCUUAUUUAAUGACUUCACUUUCUAAUAAAAAAAAAUUCUGUGUGGCAUAGAUAAUUAGAUUUUUUAAAUGAAACUGGGAAAUGGAGUGCCCCAAAGAAUUUAAUUGCAGUUUUAUGAGAGAUGGAGCAUAAAAGCGGAACCAUUCAUUCCUAUAACAGAUGU